rnacentral:rRNA from 1 species
GUCUCAAGAGUGAACACGUAAUUCAUUACGAAGUUUAAUUCAUUGAGCAUCAAACUUUUAAAUUGAAGAGUUUGAUCAUGGCUCAGAUUGAACGCUGGCGGCAGGCCUAACACAUGCAAGUCGAACGGUAACAGGAAGCAGCUUGCUGCUUUGCUGACGAGUGGCGGACGGGUGAGUAAUGUCUGGGAAACUGCCUGAUGGAGGGGGAUAACUACUGGAAACGGUGGCUAAUACCGCAUAACGUCGCAAGACCAAAGAGGGGGACCUUCGGGCCUCUUGCCAUCAGAUGUGCCCAGAUGGGAUUAGCUUGUUGGUGAGGUAACGGCUCACCAAGGCGACGAUCCCUAGCUGGUCUGAGAGGAUGACCAGCCACACUGGAACUGAGACACGGUCCAGACUCCUACGGGAGGCAGCAGUGGGGAAUAUUGCACAAUGGGCGCAAGCCUGAUGCAGCCAUGCCGCGUGUAUGAAGAAGGCCUUCGGGUUGUAAAGUACUUUCAGCGGGGAGGAAGGUGUUGUGGUUAAUAACCGCAGCAAUUGACGUUACCCGCAGAAGAAGCACCGGCUAACUCCGUGCCAGCAGCCGCGGUAAUACGGAGGGUGCAAGCGUUAAUCGGAAUUACUGGGCGUAAAGCGCACGCAGGCGGUCUGUCAAGUCGGAUGUGAAAUCCCCGGGCUCAACCUGGGAACUGCAUUCGAAACUGGCAGGCUUGAGUCUUGUAGAGGGGGGUAGAAUUCCAGGUGUAGCGGUGAAAUGCGUAGAGAUCUGGAGGAAUACCGGUGGCGAAGGCGGCCCCCUGGACAAAGACUGACGCUCAGGUGCGAAAGCGUGGGGAGCAAACAGGAUUAGAUACCCUGGUAGUCCACGCCGUAAACGAUGUCUACUUGGAGGUUGUGCCCUUGAGGCGUGGCUUCCGGAGCUAACGCGUUAAGUAGACCGCCUGGGGAGUACGGCCGCAAGGUUAAAACUCAAAUGAAUUGACGGGGGCCCGCACAAGCGGUGGAGCAUGUGGUUUAAUUCGAUGCAACGCGAAGAACCUUACCUGGUCUUGACAUCCACGGAAGUUUUCAGAGAUGAGAAUGUGCCUUCGGGAACCGUGAGACAGGUGCUGCAUGGCUGUCGUCAGCUCGUGUUGUGAAAUGUUGGGUUAAGUCCCGCAACGAGCGCAACCCUUAUCCUUUGUUGCCAGCGGUCCGGCCGGGAACUCAAAGGAGACUGCCAGUGAUAAACUGGAGGAAGGUGGGGAUGACGUCAAGUCAUCAUGGCCCUUACGACCAGGGCUACACACGUGCUACAAUGGCGCAUACAAAGAGAAGCGACCUCGCGAGAGCAAGCGGACCUCAUAAAGUGCGUCGUAGUCCGGAUUGGAGUCUGCAACUCGACUCCAUGAAGUCGGAAUCGCUAGUAAUCGUGGAUCAGAAUGCCACGGUGAAUACGUUCCCGGGCCUUGUACACACCGCCCGUCACACCAUGGGAGUGGGUUGCAAAAGAAGUAGGUAGCUUAACCUUCGGGAGGGCGCUUACCACUUUGUGAUUCAUGACUGGGGUGAAGUCGUAACAAGGUAACCGUAGGGGAACCUGCGGUUGGAUCACCUCCUUACCUUAAAGAA